GACCUCGUAGUUCAGCUGGUAGAGCGUGCGCUGUACAAAAGUGUGGGCGGCGUCCAUGCGUGGGUUUGAAUCCCACCGAGGCUA
rnacentral:tRNA from 1 species